rnacentral:rRNA from 1 species
UCGGGAAUUUUGCGCAAUGGACGAGAGUCUGACGCAGCAACGCCGCGUGAGGGAUGACGGCCUUCGGGUUGUAAACCUCUUUUCUCAGGGAAGAUGAUGACGGUACCUGAGGAAUAAGCCACGGCUAACUACGUGCCAGCAGCCGCGGUGACACGUAGGCACCAAGCGUUGUCCGGAUUUAUUGGGCGUAAAGAGCUCGUAGGCGGUUCGGUAAGUCGGGUGUGAAAACUCUGGGCUCAACCCAGAGCCGCCACCCGAUACUGCUGUGACUAGAGUGCGGUAGGGGAGCGGGGAAUUCCUGGUGUAGCGGUGAAAUGCGCAGAUAUCAGGAGGAACACCAGUGGCGAAGGCGCCGCUCUGGGCCGUGACUGACGCUGAGGAGCGAAAGCGUGGGUAGCAAA